rnacentral:tRNA from 1 species
AUCUUUUAAGUAUACCGAGAGUACACUCGCCUUCCAAGUGAGAGGAUUAAUUAAAUUUAAAAAAGAUA